rnacentral:rRNA from 1 species
UGGGGAAUUUUCCGCAAUGGGCGAAAGCCUGACGGAGCAAUACCGCGUGCGGGAGGAAGGCCUUUGGGUCGUAAACCGCUUUUAACAGGGAAGAAGUUCUGACGGUACCUGUUGAAUAAGCCUCGGCUAACUCCGUGCCAGCAGCCGCGGUAAGACGGAGGAGGCAAGCGUUAUCCGGAAUUAUUGGGCGUAAAGCGUCCGCAGGUGGCCUUUCAAGUCUGCUGUUAAAGCCCAGGGCUCAACUCUGGAUCAGCAGUGGAAACUGAAAGGCUAGAGUACGGUAGGGGUAGAGGGAAUUCCCAGUGUAGCGGUGAAAUGCGUAGAUAUUGGGAAGAACACCAGUGGCGAAGGCGCUCUGCUGGGCCGUAACUGACACUCAUGGACGAAAGCUA